AUGUCGCUGAUCCGUCGCACCAACGUGUUGGACCCCUUCUCCCUCGACCUCUGGGACCCCUUCGACGGCUUCCCCUUCGGCUCCGGCGGCAGCGGCAGCCUCGUCCCGCGCACCUCCUCUGACACGGCGGCCUUCGCCAGCGCGCGGAUUGACUGGAAGGAGACGCCCGAGGCGCACGUGUUCAAGGCGGACGUGCCGGGGCUGAAGAAGGAGGAGGUGAAGGUGGAGGUGGAGGACGGCAACAUCCUCCAGAUAGCGGCGAGCGGAACAAGGAGCAGGAGGAGAAGACGGACACCUGGCACCGCGUGGAGCGCAGCAGCGGCAAGUUCCUGCGCAGGUUCCGGCUCCCGGAGAACGCCAAGGCGGAGCAGGUGA
rnacentral:rRNA from 1 species